rnacentral:rRNA from 1 species
GUAGGAUUACCCGCUGAACUUAAGCAUAUCAAUAAGCGGAGGAAAAGAAACUAACAAGGAUUCCCCUAGUAACUGCGAGUGAAGCGGGAAAAGCUCAAAUUUAAAAUCUGGCGGUCUUUGGCCGUCCGAGUUGUAGUCUGGAGAAGUGCUUUCCGCGCUGGACCGUGUACAAGUCUCUUGGAACAGAGCGUCAUAGAGGGUGAGAAUCCCGUCUUUGACACGGACUACCAGUGCUUUGUGAUGUGCUCUCAAAGAGUCGAGUUGUUUGGGAAUGCAGCUCAAAAUGGGUGGUAAAUUCCAUCUAAAGCUAAAUAUUGGCGAGAGACCGAUAGCGAACAAGUACCGUGAGGGAAAGAUGAAAAGCACUUUGGAAAGAGAGUUAAACAGUACGUGAAAUUGCUGAAAGGGAAACGCUUGAAGUCAGUCGCGUUGGCCAGGACUCAGCCUUGCUUAUUUGCUUGGUGCAUUUUCUGGUUGACGGGCCAGCAUCGAUUUUGACCGCUGGAAAAAGAUUAGGGGAAUGUGGCACCUUCGGGUGUGUUAUAGCCCUUAGUCACAUACAGUGGUUGGGAUCGAGGACCGCAGCACGCCUUUAUGGCCGGGGUUCGCCCACGUUCGUGCUUAGGAUGCUGGCGUAAUGGCUUUAAACGACCCGUCUUGAAACACGGACCAAGGAGUCUAACAUGCCUGCGAGUGUUUGGGUGGAAAACCCGAGCGCGUAAUGAAAGUGAAAGUUGAGAUCCCUGUCGUGGGGAGCAUCGACGCCCGGACCUGAACUUCGGUGAUGGAUCUGCGGUAGAGCAUGUAUGUUGGGACCCGAAAGAUGGUGAACUAUGCCUGAAUAGGGUGAAGCCAGAGG